rnacentral:rRNA from 1 species
GCUAAGCUAUUAACAUUGAUACAACCCUACAAAGUCUUCCGCCAGAACAUUACAAGUGAAAAACUUAAAACUCAAAGGACUUGGCGGUGUCCCAACCGACCUAGAGGAGCCUGUCCUAUAAUCGAUACCCCCCGUUCCACCUAACCUCUACUAGCAUUACCUCAGCCUAUAUACCGCCGUCGACAGUCUACCCCAUGAGGGUCCAACAGUAGACAAAACAGUUUAACCACUAGAACGUCAGGUCAAGGUGUAGCAAAUGUUGAGGAAGCGAUUGGCUACAUUUUUUAUAACAAAAAACACGAAAUACGACAUGAAACCCCGUAUGAAGGUGAAUUUAGCAGUAAAGUGGAUAAGAGAGCCCACUUUAACAUCGCCCUGGGACGCGC